rnacentral:misc_RNA from 1 species
ACAAAAACCGUUGUUUUAGAAGGUUUCUCAAAUAAAGUGCUUGUCUUUUGUCUUCUGAUGUCUUCUUUAUCCACAAAUUUCCCAAUCCCUUUCCUCAAUUUCAUUGUGCAGUCUAGCGAUCCGUCAAUAUUCAAUAGCCAAGGGAUAUUUCCCCAGCCCACAAAUGCUCCAUAUAUUGCUGGAAAUGGCAAAGAGGAUGUCACGGUCAUUUUUAGAAGAAGAGGAGGAGAUGAUCUGGAACAAAGCCACACCCAAUGGGCAAAAACUGUCAGAUCUUCUCCAGAUGUCAUUGAGAUGUCAUUCUACCCUAUAACUCUUCUGCUUGAAGGAAUCAAAGGCAAGGAGCAUUUGGAGCGUGCUAUAAGUCUUUAUCUCGAAUACAAGCCUCAAAUUGAAGAGCUGAGAUAUUUCCUAGAGUUUCAGGUCCCAAGGGUAUGGGCCCCUGUACAGGACAGAUUUCCAGGCCAACAGCGGAAGGAACCUGUUUGCCGGCAUCUCCAGUUCAGCAUGAUGGGACAAAAGCUUUAUGUUAGCCAAGAACAAGUGUCUGUGGGGCGUAAGCCUGUGACUGGCAUGCGAUUAACUCUUGAAGGUUCCAAGUCAAAUCGAUUAUGCAUCUAUCUUCAACAUCUGACCAACCUUCCAAAGAUCCUUCUGCCAUGUUGGGACACUCAUGUAGCAAUUGGCGCUCCAAAGUGGCAGGGCCCUGAAGAGCAGGAUAGUAGG